CAAAUAUUCUCCGUCACAGGGGGGCUCAUGUUGAACAGCACAAUGAAGUUUCUGCUCUUGGCUUUAAGCGUUUUCCUGCUCGCAGUCGGUGCGGAGGACCGUUUCCAUGGCAUUCACCAAAUUCACAUGGUUUCCUUGGAUGCCAAGAGAGAUCCGUCCCCGGCGGGCCACCCUGGUGUGAUUGGCCAGUUAGACAGACGCGGCGACAACGUCCGCCGGCGCAUCCGCCAUCGUCUCACAGCGGAUUAGACGUGACACUCAGUCAUACUCCAGUGGACCAAAGCGGCAGGAGUGCAUCAGGUCUGAAUGCUGUCAAGACUCCUUCAGCAUCCAUUCAUUUUAGUUGGCUUGCAAAGCAUAAAAA